rnacentral:rRNA from 1 species
AUACGGAGGGUGCAAGCGUUAUUCGGAAUCACUGGGCGUAAAGGGUGCGUAGGCGGUUUGAUAAGUCUGAUGUGAAAUCCUAUGGCUCAACCAUAGAACUGCAUUGGAAACUGUCAGACUAGAAUACUGGAGGGGCAGAUGGAAUUAGUGGUGUAGGGGUAAAAUCCGUAGAUAUCACUAGGAAUACUGAAAGCGAAAGCGAUCUGCUGGGAAGUUAUUGACGCUGAGGCACGAAAGCGUGGGGAGCAAACGGGAUUAGAAACCCUAGUAGUCC